rnacentral:rRNA from 1 species
AGAGUUUGAUCAUGGCUCAGGAUGAACGCUGGCGGCGUGCUUAACACAUGCAAGUCGAACGGGAAACCUUUUAUUGAAGCUUCGGCAGAUUUAGCUGGUUUCUAGUGGCGGACGGGUGAGUAACGCGUGGGUAACCUGCCUUAUACAGGGGGAUAACAACCAGAAAUGGUUGCUAAUACCGCAUAAGCGCACAGGACCGCAUGGUUCGGUGUGAAAAACUCCGGUGGUAUAAGAUGGACCCGCGUUGGAUUAGCUAGUUGGCAGGGUAACGGCCUACCAAGGCGACGAUCCAUAGCCGGCCUGAGAGGGUGAACGGCCACAUUGGGACUGAGACACGGCCCAGACUCCUACGGGAGGCAGCAGUGGGGAAUAUUGCACAAUGGGGGAAACCCUGAUGCAGCGACGCCGCGUGAAGGAAGAAGUAUCUCGGUAUGUAAACUUCUAUCAGCAGGGAAGAUAGUGACGGUACCUGACUAAGAAGCCCCGGCUAACUACGUGCCAGCAGCCGCGGUAAUACGUAGGGGGCAAGCGUUAUCCGGAUUUACUGGGUGUAAAGGGAGCGUAGACGGACUGGCAAGUCUGAUGUGAAAGGCGGGGGCUCAACCCCUGGACUGCAUUGGAAACUGUUAGUCUUGAGUGCCGGAGAGGUAAGCGGAAUUCCUAGUGUAGCGGUGAAAUGCUUAGAUAUCACGAAGAACUCCGAUUGCGAAGGCAGCUCACUGGAGCGCAACUGACGCUGAAGCUCGAAAGUGCGGGUAUCGAACAGGAUUAGAUACCCUGGUAGUCCGCACGGUAAACGAUGGAUGCCCGCUGUUGGUCUGAACAGGUCAGCGGCCAAGCGAAAGCAUUAAGCAUCCCACCUGGGGAGUACGCCGGCAACGGUGAAACUCAAAGGAAUUGACGGGGGCCCGCACAAGCGGAGGAACAUGUGGUUUAAUUCGAUGAUACGCGAGGAACCUUACCCGGGCUUGAAUUGCAGAGGAAGGAUUUGGAGACAAUGACGCCCUUCGGGGGCUCUGUGAAGGUGCUGCAUGGUUGUCGUCAGCUCGUGCCGUGAGGUGUCGGCUUAAGUGCCAUAACGAGCGCAACCCCUCUCCUUAGUUGCCAUCAGGUUAAGCUGGGCACUCUGGGGACACUGCCACCGUAAGGUGUGAGGAAGGUGGGGAUGACGUCAAAUCAGCACGGCCCUUACGUCCGGGGCUACACACGUGUUACAAUGGCAGGUACAGAGAGACGGUUGUACGUAAGUACGAUCAAAUCCUUAAAGCCUGUCUCAGUUCGGACUGGGGUCUGCAACCCGACCCCACGAAGCUGGAUUCGCUAGUAAUCGCGCAUCAGCCAUGGCGCGGUGAAUACGUUCCCGGGCCUUGUACGCACCGCCCGUCAAGCCAUGAAAGCCGGGGGCGCCUAAAGUCCGUGACCGUAAGGAGCGGCCUAGGGCGAAACUGGUAAUUGGGGCUAAGUCGUAACAAGGUA